AGAGGGAGAUUCGAAUUUUUCGGAGAGGAAAGUGUGUGAUUUUUUUUCGCCUUGUAUAUACCCAAGCUUUAUUGGAGUAUGCGUUAACGAUCGAUUGGUAACUCCGAACGUCGAGUCCUUGUAUCGUCCGGCUAAUCGACCCCCGAAAACCCGCUAACAAAAUCAACGCAACGAAGCCAACCUAUCGUCGAUCUCUCUCGUCCAGUUUCCCAUCUCGGCGGCUGCAUUCCAGCACUAUGGGUCCCCCACAAGCUCCUCUCUCGUCGCGCGAUGCAGCAGCAGCAGCAGCAGCGCCUCGGGAGAAAGGAAGGGCGACAAAGGCGCGCGGAGAAGGGAUGGAUACAGGAAGAGGGGGGGGGGACACCUCGAGAGCUCUCGCGCUCGGCGCGGGUUUCAUUCAGUACGGCCCGAUGAAUGAACGGCGCCGAGUCACGGGGCAAUACGUAUACCAGAGUGCAGCAUCGCCAGCAGUCUCCGCAUACACGUAUAUAUAGGUAUACACGCGCGCAGUGAUGGACGGAAAAGCCGAAAAUUUCGAGUAUACACAGAGAGAGAGAGAGAGCGGAGGAGGUCCUCGAACGCGGAAGUGAAAGCUAUAUACACACAGCAGUCGUAGUCGUCGUGGUCCCCCACUUCUGUACUGUGUGAGCAUGUAUAUAUAUGUAUAUGUGUGUGUGUGUACUCUCUUUUGAAAUGUGGGUCACGCAGAGAAGAGGAGGUGGCGGUGCGGCGGCGGCGCGGGCUUCCGAUCUACGUCACUUCCCGCAGCGACGACGACCGGCUCACACUUGGCCGAAGGCACUCGGAGCGCAAACAACUACGUCGUAUGUAUAGUGAUAAUUCGCACAUGUACGGACUUCUGUGACGUUAGGAGAACUCGUGCGCGAGAUCGGGAGGAUUGUGUGCUGGUGAACUCGGAUUUAUAGUAUAGUAUAAUUGGUGGAUCUAUAGCCUACGUGUGCAACGAUGCUGUCGAGGACGACGAUUAUCAUCAGUGCGGACCACGUCGCGGAGGAUAACUUUUUCUCCGAUCCACUACAGCCUUGCUCGACUUCUAUGGACUUCCAAGGAAACAACUCACUUUCGUCUGUGAGAAUGGCUCCAAAUCGUCAAAUUCCUUGGCGCCUUUAAAGACGGAAGAAGAAGAAUAAGAAGCAGAGGACCGUGUCAAAGAAACGCCAGCUCAUGCUUGACGACGAACCGCAGCUCAUAUACACGAAAUAUACACGCUUCCAAUAAUAUUUGCUUUCCCAACCACGAGCACCACUCUGCAUUAUAUAUCCCUGCGUCAUCCGGCUCACUUUUUCAAGCUAGAUUAUUAGGAGCAAUAUUCUCUGGGUCCAUCGAGCGGAUCGUGUC